rnacentral:tRNA from 1 species
GGCUUGUAGCUCAGUGGUAGAGCACUUGCCUUGAAUGUGUGUGCACUGGGUUUGAUACUCAGCACCA